GUCGUAAUGGGACGACUCAAUUAUUUCCUAUAUAAAGGCUAGGUCCCCUCUCCUCUCCUCUCCAUAUGUUUUAUUAGCUUACCCCAUUGAUAGCUAAUACUUUGUGAGAAGCAAGGAGGGGAAGAUCUUGACUGCUAUUACAACUAUUAUUCAUAUCAACAAUGACUUCCGCAGAUAUAAAUUCUUUUUAUUAAUUUAAUUUUGGUGAUUCUUGAUUCUUAGCAUGAUUAAAUUAAAAUUCAACAAUUGGUAUCAGAGCCUCCGUGCUAAGAUUAGUGUCCAAUAAUCCAUCCGUCCUCUCUCUCUCUCUCUCUCUCUCGCUCUCUCAAUUCUGCUUUUUGAAAUUUUACAGAUCAAAAUCACUUCUUGCUGGUAAGAGCCUUUGUGGGUUUUAAGUAGAUUGAUGAUAUAAUUUAUAUAUAUUUGAUUUUAAACAUCUAACUGGUGAAUGUUGGAUUUGGAAACAAUUCAAUGAUUAUAUAAAAUUGCAAACUAGUUUUGUUUCAAAUAUUUGUUGAAUUUAAAGCACCGGUCUUUGAUCUUUUAGCUAGAAAUAAACUGGGUGCUUUUAUUUUUCUCAAUAGGAUUAAAAAGAAAUAUUUUAAUUCAUUGAUGUUUUCUGAAUACCCACAAGUUUCACUAAAUGGGUUAUCUUUAAAGGAAUGAACUUUUCAAAAAAAAAAAAAAAGAAAAAAACUCACCUGAUCCGAUCAAGUAAAUAGACCUUUCGAACAAAGUAAUAGAAUUUGAGCGUCGAGUAAAUCAAAAUAAUUUCCAUUUAACUCAAUUUCUUGUUUGGUAGCAUCUUCUUCUCCAUAAUACCACAGGUCACACCUAAUCCAUUGACAGUGCGCCAUCUAUUUUGAUGACGGCUGCUAAACUCCACCCCCAUUUAUGAUACCCGUCGGUACUGUCAUUUGAACGGCUGUCAAGUCCCCAUACUGUGAAAUUGACGGGGGCUGAUUUUGCUUAUGAUACCCUUCAGUUUCACAUAGCUUCGUUCGCAAGCGUACUCCAUUAUCGACUUGGCUACAGCAUCCAAUGGUGGUACUUGUUUUUAGUUACAUUAAACAGACACACCCCAGUUUUUAUUUGUGCUUCUCAAACGUUCUUGUUCAAGAUUUGACUUAUCCAAGAACCUCAAAGAUCAAGCAUUCUUGAGUUUCUUUCUUUUUUUCAUUUUUCAAAAUUCAAGAAUAAACCCAUCAAGAAAGGAAGAGAGAGCAGCUGUAUUUUUUAAAAGUUUUAGGGUUUAGAAUGGAUUUAACUUGUACAAAUGCUAACCUUCAGUAUUGGGCCAUAUUAGGCCCAUUUCUUCGUUUUUAAUUUUAAAUUAAAAGUUG
rnacentral:lncRNA from 1 species